rnacentral:rRNA from 1 species
GUCUUCUAGCCAAACUUAUUAGAAGUCCGGCCUGCCCGGUGAGGAUUUAAACGGCCGCGGUAGCCUGACCGUGCUAAGGUAGCGCAAUCACUUGCCCUUUAAUUGGGGGCUAGUAUGAAUGGCCAGACAAGGGCUUAACUGUCUCAAAAAUUUAUACGAAAAUUGACCUUUAGGUGCAGAGGCCUAAAUAUCGGUGAAAGACAAGAAGACCCUAUCGAGCUUUAAUUUUCACUAUUUUUAUAAUAAUAGGACAAAUUUUUAUUGGGGCAAUAGAGGAGCACACAAAGCCUCCUUUAAAUCUAUCAGUUAAACAGAAUAGUAACAGAAACAUUAUUAAUGCUCACAGGUAUAAGCUACCGUAGGGAUAACAGACUAAUUUUCCUCGAGAGUCCACAUUGACAGGAAAGUUUGGCACCUCGAUGUUGGCUUAAAAAACAGUUAAUGAAGCAGCAUUCUAACCACGUAGGUUUGUUCAACCUUUAAAAUUUUA